UACGGAGGGUGCAAGCGUUAUCCGGAUUUACUGGGUUUAAAGGGUGCGUAGGCGGGCAGGUAAGUCUGUGGUGAAAUCCCCGAGCUUAACUUGGGAACUGCCAUGGAUACUAUUUGUCUUGAAUACCGUGGAGGUGAGCGGAACAUGGCAUGUAGCGGUGAAAUGCUUAGAUAUGCCAUAGAACACCGAUUGCGAAGGCAGCUCACUACACGGUGAUUGACGCUGAUGCACGAAAGCGUGGGGAGCGAACAGG
rnacentral:rRNA from 1 species